UACGUAGGGACCGAGCGUUGUCCGGAAUCAUUGGGCGUAAAGAGCGUGUAGGCGGCCACUUAAGUCCUGCGUGAAAUCCUGCGGCUCAACCGCAGGCGGUCGUGGGAAACUGGGUGGCUAGAGUGCGGGAGAGGAGAGUGGAAUUCCUGGUGUAGCGGUGGAAUGCGCAGAUAUCAGGAAGAACACCCGUGGCGAAGGCGGCUCUCUGGAACGCAACUGACGCUGAGACGCGAAAGCGCGGGGAGCAAACAGG
rnacentral:rRNA from 1 species